CAGUAGCAAUACUGAGUGGCAGACGGGUGAGUAACAUGUGGGAAUCUGCCUUGUGGUUCAGGACAACAUUGGGAAACCGAUGCUAAUACUGGAUAAGCCCUUACGGGGAAAGUUUUAAUGCCAUAAGAUGAGCCCGCAUUUGAUUAGUUAGUUGGUGAGGUAAUGGCUCACCAAGACAAUGAUCAAUAGCUGAUCUGAGAGGAUGAUCAGCCACACUGGGACUGAGACACGGCCCAGACUCCUACGGGAGGCAGCAGUGGGGAAUCUUGCACAAUGGAGGAAACUCUGAUGCAGCGAUGCCGCGUGAGUGAAGAAGGCCUUUGGGUUGUAAAGCUCUUUUGUAGGGGAAGAUAAUGACUGUACCCUAAGAAUAAGGUCCGGCUAACUUCGUGCCAGCAGCCGCGGUAAUACGAAGGGACCUAGCGUAGUUCGGAAUUACUGGGCGUAAAGCGCGCGUAGGCCGUUGAGUUAGUUAAUUGUGAAAUCCCAAAGCUUAACUUUGGAACUGCAAUUAAAACUGCUCGACUAGAGUUUGAUAGAGGAAAGCGGAAUACAUAGUGUAGAGGUGAAAUUCGUAGAUAUUAUGUAGAACACCAGUUGCGAAGGCGGCUUUCUGGAUCAACACUGACGC
rnacentral:rRNA from 1 species